UACAGAGGAUGCAAGCGUUAUCCGGAAUGAUUGGGCGUAAAGCGUCUGUAGGUGGCUUUUUAAGUCCGCCGUCAAAUCCCAGGGCUCAACUCUGGACAGGCGGUGGAAACUACCAAGCUGGAGUACGGUAGAGGCGUGUGGAAUUCCGGGUGUAGUGGUGAAAUGCGUAGAGAUCCGGAGGAACACCAGUGGCGAAGGCGACACGCUGGGCCGUACCUGACACUGAUGCGCGACAGCAUGGGGAGCAAACAGG
rnacentral:rRNA from 1 species